AACAACAUGAUACAGGCCAGUGGGAAGAGGCUCAAACUCGGUCGAGGGUGAUGAUUAUUGUUCGCCUUCACAAAGGUGAAGAGUUUCUUCUGAGUCGUACUCUUUGGGAGUGGCAGAUUUUGCGACUUCAAAGAGAAUGGCUUGGGUGAUACGAAUGGAGAUACAUGCAUCAUCUUCUCAUGCAGGGUUUUCUUGGGAAGAGGCUUCGCCAUAGAAUUUUCUAAACAAGGGGUAGUGGUGGCGGAAGAGAUUUCCCUAAACUUUUCAUCUAGGCUCCCUUGAGAUGCACCAUCUAGGUGGAGUUUUUCUAAUGGGCAACCGAUGACAAGAUCAAAAUCGAGGAUAUCAAAGAUGUGAAAGUCUAGGUUGACCUCAAUUUUGUCUGUUGUGAGCGGCACGGCACUUGCGACCCCCUAACAUUCAAGGAUGUGUCCAAAGGGAGAACUUUUGAGGAGCUUGUUGGAUGGUCUUAGCGGAACAUUGCCCAAAAGAGUGUACGCUAAGUGCCAAUGCAUGAUAUUGACCUCCAGGAUGGGGUUAGGAUGGGCUUCUACGGUAAUCCCCUUAUAGAAUAAGGAAUGAUCGUAGAGGGUGAACUAAUCCAAAUCACUUAGGAAGAGUGUCUCACUCAAUCUGACCAUUUCUCCUUCAUGGCCUCCUCAAGAAAUGCUUCAUUAGGAGGAUCGGGGGGAGAAGGAGGUUUCGUAGGCUUGAAAGAAGGUCAAGGGAUUUCUAGAUUGAUCAGUGUGGAUAGAAGAAGGUUCCUCCCCUAAUUGGGCAUCGAAAAAAUUCGAGGUGUUUCUAUGGUUUCUAGAUGGAACAUCCUCAUAUUUGAAGUGGAACUUCGGAGGUUGAAUUUCUUCUCCCUCCGAUGUUCCUGGUUCGGGUAAGGGUUCUAUGGCUGAAUCUAAGGAUGUGGAAGGUGAAGGAUUAGAUUCGGCCGCUAGAAGAUCCUCAUGGCUCAACUUACGCUCUUCUCAGAGGGGUUUGGGCUCGACUAUGAAAGAGGUGUUCGCAAUGAUACGAUCUAGGAUUUUCCUACCUUCAGCCAUAGUCUUAUGGAGAAAUGACCCUCCAGUGAUGACGUCAAGAUAAUAGGCGAAAUUCUUACCGAGACCCUCAUAAAAGUUUUGAAGCAAGGUGGGAUCGGGUGUCGAUAAGAUAGGGCAAGAUCCCACUACGAGUGAAAAUCUAAACCACGCUGCGCCUAUUGAUUCCUUCUGAUUCUACUGGAAACAACGGAUAUCCUCUCGUAGAGUGACGAUACAGGACGGGGAAGAACUCAAGACAAAACUUGUCUCUAAGCUCGUCCCAGUUGUCAUUCAUGCUGCUUAUGGUACACGUGUACAAUUGCUCAACCUUCCCUGUAAGAGAGUAGGGGAACAACUUCCACUUGAGGGUACCUUG
rnacentral:lncRNA from 1 species